rnacentral:rRNA from 1 species
AUUGAACGCUGGCGGCAUGCUUUACACAUGCAAGUCGAACGGUGACAGGCCGCAAGGUGCUGACGAGUGGCGAACGGGUGAGUAAUGCAUCGGAACGUGCCCAGUCGUGGGGGAUAACUACUCGAAAGAGUAGCUAAUACCGCAUACGAUCUAUGGAUGAAAGCGGGGGACCGUAAGGCCUCGCGCGAUUGGAGCGGCCGAUGUCAGAUUAGGUAGUUGGUGGGGUAAAGGCUCACCAAGCCAACGAUCUGUAGCUGGUCUGAGAGGACGACCAGCCACAGGGGGAGUGGAAAGCGCCACAGACCCCACGGGGGGGCGGGAGGGGGGAUUUUGGGACAAGGGGCGCAAGCUUGUCCAAGAAAGCCCGCGUGCAGAAAGAGGGCUUUGGGGUUGUAAACUUUUUUUGUAGGAAACAAAAGGGCUUGGUUAAAUACCGGGGGCAAAUGAGGGAACGGAAAAAAAAGACACGGCCAACCCCCGGC